rnacentral:rRNA from 1 species
AGAGAGAGACAUGCGCGCAUAUCAAUAAGCGGAGGAAAAGAAACUAACAAGGAUUCCCUUAGUAACGGCGAGUGAAGCGGGAAGAGCUCAAAUUUGAAAUCUUCAAGGUUCUACCUUGACGAAUUGUAGUUUAUAGAAGUGUUUUCUGUUAGUGGAGUGGCAAAAGUUCUUUGGAAUAGGACAUCAUAGAGGGUGAGAAUCCCGUAUUUGGUCAUUCCUCCUAGCGUUGUGAUACACUUUCAACGAGUCGGAUUGUUUGGGAAUGCAGUCCAAAAUGGGUGGUAAAUUUCAUCUAAAGCUAAAUAUUGGCGAGAGACCGAUAGCGAACAAGUACCGUGAGGGAAAGACUGAAAAGAACUUUGAAAAGAGAGUUAAACAGUACGUGAAAUUGUCAAAAGGGAAGCGUUUGACACCAGUGUUGUUUUCUCGAAAAUCAAUUAAAAAGAUUGGAUUUUGUGUUGUAUUGACUUUAUCAGCUUUCAGCACUCUUUUUCUUGUCUUUUUUAAUGCACUUUUCGUUUAACAAGUCAACAUCAAUUUCUUUUGUUGUAAAAGGGUCAUUGGAAGGUGGCUUUCUUUUCGGAGAAAGUGUUUAUAGCCUCGUGCCUCUGCAAUCGGAGAGAUUGAGGUCUGCAGCGUAGAUCCUUCGGGGUUAGAUACAGUUUGUGCUAAGUUAUAGCUUUUCAUAGACAACUUGUUGACUAUGUUUAGUCUUGUAGCUUACUCGCUGAUGCUAUUUUACCUACGCUUAGGAUGUUGAUAGUCACAGCGUGUAC